GUGUCAGCAGCCGCGGUAAUACGUAGGGUGCAAGCGUUAAUCGGAAUUACUGGGCGUAAAGCGUGCGCAGGCGGUUCGGAAAGAAAGGUGUGAAAUCCCAGGGCUUAACCUUGGAACUGCACUUUUAACUCCCGAGCUAGAGUAUGUCAGAGGGGGGUGGAAUUCCGCGUGUAGCAGUGAAAUGCGUAGAUAUGCGGAGGAACACCGAUGGCGAAGGCAGCCCCCUGGGAUGAUACUGACGCUCAUGCACGAAAGCGUGGGGAGCAAACAGGAUUAGAUACCCUGGUAGUCCACGCCCUAAACGAUGUCAACUAGCUGUUGGGGGCUUCGGCCCUUAGUAGCGCAGCUAACGCGUGAAGUUGACCGCCUGGGGAGUACGGUCGCAAGAUUAAAACUCAAAUGAAUUGGCGGGG
rnacentral:rRNA from 1 species